rnacentral:rRNA from 1 species
UACGAAGGGGGCUAGCGUUGCUCGGAAUCACUGGGCGUAAAGCGCACGUAGGCGGACUCUUAAGUCAGGGGUGAAAUCCUGGAGCUCAACUCCAGAACUGCCUUUGAUACUGAGAGCCUUGAGUUCGGGAGAGGUGAGUGGAACUGCGAGUGUAGAGGUGAAAUUCGUAGAUAUUCGCAAGAACACCAGUGGCGAAGGCGGCUCACUGGCCCGAUACUGACGCUGAGGUGCGAAAGCGUGGGGAGCGAACAGG